rnacentral:rRNA from 1 species
CUCUGUGACUCCUACGGGGAGGCAGCAGUGGGGAAUAUUGCACAAUGGGGGAAACCCUGAUGCAGCCAUGCCGCGUGUGUGAAGAAGGCCUUCGGGUUGUAAAGCACUUUCAGUAGGGAGGAAGGUAGUGUAGUUAACACCUGCACUAUUUGACGUUACCUACAGAAGAAGCACCGGCUAACUCCGUGCCAGCAGCCGCGGUAAUACGGAGGGUGCGAGCGUUAAUCGGAAUUACUGGGCGUAAAGCGCAUGCAGGCGGCCUGUUAAGUCAGAUGUGAAAGCCCGGGGCGUUAAACCUCGGAAUUGCAUUUGAAACUAGGCAGGCUAGAGUCUUGUAGAGGGGGGUAGGAAUUUCAGGUGUAGCGGUGAAAUGCGUAGAGAUCUGAAGGAAUACCAGUGGCGAAGGCGGCCCCCUCGGACAAAGACUGACGCUCAGAUGCGAAAGCGUGGGGAGCAAACAGGAUUAGAUACCCUGGUAG